UGGGGAAUCUUAGACAAUGGGGGAAACCCUGAUCUAGCCAUGCCGCGUGAGCGAUGAAGGCCUUAGGGUUGUAAAGCUCUUUCAGCUGGGAAGAUAAUGACGGUACCAGCAGAAGAAGCCCCGGCUAACUCCGUGCCAGCAGCCGCGGUAAUACGGAGGGGGCUAGCGUUGUUCGGAAUUACUGGGCGUAAAGCGCACGUAGGCGGAUUAGUCAGUCAGAGGUGAAAUCCCAGGGCUCAACCCUGGAACUGCCUUUGAUACUGCUAGUCUUGAGGUCGAGAGAGGUGAGUGGAAUUCCGAGUGUAGAGGUGAAAUUCGUAGAUAUUCGGAGGAACACCAGUGGCGAAGGCGGCUCACUGGCUCGAUACUGACGCUGAGGUGCGAAAGCGUGGGGAGCAAAACAGGAUUAGAUACCCUGGUAGUCCACGCCGUAAACGAUGAAUGCCAGUCGUCGGGUUGCAUGCAAUUCGGUGACACACCUAACGGAUUAAGCAUUCCGCCUGGGGAGUACGGUCGCAAGAUUAAAACUUAAAUGAAUUGACGGGGUCAUAGCUGUUUCCUG
rnacentral:rRNA from 1 species